AUACGUAGGGGGCAAGCGUUAUCCGGAUUUACUGGGUGUAAAGGGAGCGUAGACGGCAAAGUAAGUCUGAAGUGAAAGCCCCGGGCUCAACCCGGGAACUGCUUUGGAAACUAUUUAGCUAGAGUGCAGGAGAGGUAAGUGGAAUUCCUAGUGUAGCGGUGAAAUGCGUAGAUAUUAGGAGGAACACCGGCGGCGAAGGCGGCUUACUGGACUGUAACUGACGUUGAGGCUCGAAAGCGUGGGGAGCAAACAGGAUUAGAUACCCUGGUAGUCCACGCCGUAAACGAUGAUCACUAGGUGUUGGGAGGCAAAGCCUUUCGGUGCCGCAGCUAACGCAAUAAGUGAUCCACCUGGGGAGUACGUUCGCAAGAAUGGAACUCAAAUGAAUUGGCGGGG
rnacentral:rRNA from 1 species